GACAGAGGUGCCAAGCGUUAGGCGGAAUCACUGGGCUUAAAGCGUGUGUAGGCGGAAUUGUAAGUACCUUGUGAAAUCCCACGGCUCAACCGUGGAACUGCUCGGUAUACUGCUUUUCUUGAGCCACUUAGGGGCUGUCGGAACAAACGGUGGAGCGGUGAAAUGCGCAGAUAUCGGGAAGAACACCCGUGGCGAAGGCGGCUCUCUGGGACGGUACUGACGCUGAGACGCGAAAGCGUGGGGAGCGAACAGG
rnacentral:rRNA from 1 species